rnacentral:rRNA from 1 species
GGGUUGUGAGGUUAAGCGACUAAGCGUACACGGUGGAUGCCCUGGCAGUCAGAGGCGAUGAAGGACGUGCUAAUCUGCGAUAAGCGUCGGUAAGGUGAUAUGAACCGUUAUAACCGGCGAUUUCCGAAUGGGGAAACCCAGUGUGAUUCGUCACACUAUCAUUAACUGAAUCCAUAGGUUAAUGAGGCGAACCGGGGGAACUGAAACAUCUAAGUACCCCGAGGAAAAGAAAUCAACCGAGAUUCCCCCAGUAGCGGCGAGCGAACGGGGAGGAGCCCAGAGCCUGAAUCAGUGUGUGUGUUAGUGGAAGCGUCUGGAAAGGCGCGCGAUACAGGGUGACAGCCCCGUACACAA